rnacentral:rRNA from 1 species
AUAAGGGCGCACGGUGGAUGCCUUGGCACUAGGAGCCGAUGAAGGACGGGACUAACACCGAUAUGCUUUGGGGAGCUGUACGUAAGCUAUGAUCCAGAGAUUUCCGAAUGGGGGAACCCAACAUCUUUAAUAGGAUGUUACGAUUGUGUGAAUACAUAGCACAUUCGAGGUAGACGCAGAGAACUGAAACAUCUAAGUACCUGCAGGAAGAGAAAGAAAAUUCGAUUCCCUGAGUAGCGGCGAGCGAAACGGGAAAAGCCCAAACCAGCAAGCUUGCUUGUUGGGGUUGUAGGACUCCAAUAUGGUAGUUCUUUCAGAUAGUCGAAUGACUUGGAAAAGUCAGUCAAAGAGGGUAAAAACCCCGUAGACGAAAUGUGGAAGACACCUAGGAGGAUCCUGAGUACGGCGGAACACGAGAAAUUCCGUCGGAAUCCGGGAGGACCAUCUCCCAAGGCUAAAUACUCCCUAGUGACCGAUAGUGAACCAGUACCGUGAGGGAAAGGUGAAAAGCACCCCGGAAGGGGAGUGAAAUAGAACCUGAAACCGUGUGCCUACAACAAGUCAAAGCCCGUUAAUGGGUGAUGGCGUGCCUUUUGUAGAAUGAACCGGCGAGUUACGAUUGCAUGCGAGGUUAAGUUGAAGAGACGGAGCCGCAGCGAAAGCGAGUCUGAAUAGGGCGUUUGAGUAUGUAGUCGUAGACCCGAAACCAUGUGAUCUACCCAUGUCCAGGUUGAAGGUGCGGUAAAACGCACUGGAGGACCGAACCCACGUACGUUGAAAAGUGCGGGGAUGAGGUGUGGGUAGCGGAGAAAUUCCAAACGAACUUGGAGAUAGCUGGUUCUCUCCGAAAUAGCUUUAGGGCUAGCCUCGGAAUUGAGAAUGAUGGAGGUAGAGCACUGUUUGGACUAGGGGCCCAUCUCGGGUUACCGAAUUCAGAUAAACUCCGAAUGCCAUUCAUUCAUAUCCGGGAGUCAGACUG